rnacentral:rRNA from 1 species
AAACCUCAGCAAUGCGGGAAACCGUGACUGGGCCAUCCCGAGUGCCAGCCGCUAAGGUUGGCUUUUCCUCAGAGUAGGCAUCUGAGGGAAUAAGCGGGGGGCAAGACUGGUGUCAGCCGCCGCGGUAAUACCAGCUCCGCGAGUGGUCGGGACGAUUAUUGAGCCUAAAGCGCCCGUAGCCUGCCCUGCAAGUUUCGUGUUAAAUCCAGUGGCUUAACCACUGGGCCGCAUGGAAUACUGCAGGGCUGGGGAGCGGAAGAGGCUAGGGGUACUCCCGGGGUAGGGGCGAAAUCCUAUAAUCCCGGGAGGACGACCAGUGGCGAAGGCGCCUAGCUAGGACGCGUCCGACGGUGAGGGGCGAAAGCUGGGGGAGCGA